UAUUUUUCGUCCGUUGCUAGUACUGCACCAUCAUACAUUCAAAAACUAAUCAAUACCAACUCAAACUUAACAUAGUUGAUUUCUAACAUUACAGCUGAAAACUUAUGUUGGUACAAUAUGCUCCUUCUUAAAAGUUAAAACUAAAUUUGUUAAAAAAUAUGUUUUCAACUUAGUAUGCAAAAUAAAGAUUGGAUAUAAAAGAAAAUGUUAAAAUUUAAUGGAUUCAUUUUCUCUAUAUACAAAAAAAAAAAAACAAAGAGAAAUUAGAAACAGCCAGUCCCAAAAUUCUACUUGAAAAUUAGACCGAAACCAAACCAAAACCGAAACCAUUCCAAACGAUGGACACUAGAAUAGGUUCUACUUUGGUUACUAUUGUUUAUAAACCGAAAAAUCCUAAUCAAAACCAAACCUCUAGUUUUGUUUUUGUCUUGGGCACUAGAUGAUGCAUCAAAAUUCCAAAAGUACACUAUAUAUAUACUAAACUAGAGUAAUAGAACCAUACCGGGAAGAUUUUCGGAGACGGUAG